rnacentral:snoRNA from 1 species
AAACCAUGGUGAGGGCAUUGAGCUUGGUAGCCUUUGAAUCUCUCCCAAGCUUCACUGAAUCCUUCCAAGCCUUUCUGUUGAAAGCGGGAGAUCUCAUUUCUCAGCUU